rnacentral:rRNA from 1 species
GGGCCCGCACAAGCAGCGGAGCAUGUUGUUUAAUUCGAAGCAACGCGAAGAACCUUACCAGGUCUUGACAUCCAGUUAAAGCCAUAGAGAUAUGGUGUCCCUUCGGGGGAACUGAGACAGGUGGUGCAUGGUUGUCGUCAGCUCGUGUCGUGAGAUGUUGGGUUAAGUCCCGCAACGAGCGCAACCCUUAUGGUCAGUUACUAACGCGAGAAGGCGAGGACUCUGACAAGACUGCCGGGGACAACUCGGAGGAAGGUGGGGACGACGUCAAAUCAUCAUGCCCCUUAUGACCUGGGCUACAAACGUGCUACAAUGGUGACAACAAAGAGGAGCGAGACCGUAAGGUGGAGCGGAUCUCAAAAAAGUCAUCCCAGUUCGGAUUGUGGGCUGCAACCCGCCCACAUGAAGUUGGAGUUGCUAGUAAUCGCGGAUCAGCAUGCCGCGGUGAAUACGUUCCCGGGCCUU